rnacentral:rRNA from 1 species
GAUGAACGCUGGCGGCGUGCCUAAUACAUGCAAGUCGAGCGAACAGACGAGGAGCUUGCUCCUCUGACGUUAGCGGCGGACGGGUGAGUAACACGUGGAUAACCUACCUAUAAGACUGGGAUAACUUCGGGAAACCGGAGCUAAUACCGGAUGAUAUAUUGAACCGCAUGGUUCAAUAGUGAAAGACGGUUUUGCUGUCACUUAUAGAUGGAUCCGCGCCGCAUUAGCUAGUUGGUAAGGUAACAGCUUACCAAGGCAACGAUGCGUAGCCGACCUGAGAGGGUGAUCGGCCACACUGGAACUGAGACACGGUCCAGACUCCUACGGGAGGCAGCAGUAGGGAAUCUUCCGCAAUGGGCGAAAGCCUGACGGAGCAACGCCGCGUGAGUGAUGAAGGUCUUCGGAUCGUAAAACUCUGUUAUUAGGGAAGAACAAAUGUGUAAGUAACUAUGCACGUCUUGACGGUACCUAAUCAGAAAGCCACGGCUAACUACGUG